UACGUAGGGGGCUAGCGUUGUCCGGAAUCAUUGGGCGUAAAGCGCGUGUAGGCGGUUCGGUAAGUCCGCUGUGAAAGUCGGGGGCUCAACCCUCGGAUGCCGGUGGAUACUGUCGGGCUAGAGUACGGAAGAGGCGAGUGGAAUUCCUGGUGUAGCGGUGAAAUGCGCAGAUAUCAGGAGGAACACCAAUUGCGAAGGCAGCUCGCUGGGACGUUACUGACGCUGAGACGCGAAAGCGUGGGGAGCAAACAGG
rnacentral:rRNA from 1 species